AGCGAACGCUGGCGGCAUGCCUAAUACAUGCAAGUCGAACGUGAAUAGGGCUUCGGCCCUUAGUAAAGUGGCGUACGGGUGAGUAACACGUGGGUAAUCUACCUCAGAGUCUGGAAUAACCUGCCGAAAGGCGGGCUAAUACUGGAUAGAGCGAAAAAUCUGUAAAGGGUUUUUCGGGAAAGGGGGCUCGCAAGAGCUCUUGCUUUGAGAUGAGCCUGCGUCUCAUUAGCUAGUUGGUAAGGUAACGGCUUACCAAGGCAUUGAUGAGUAGCUGGUCUGAGAGGAUGAUCAGCCACAUUGGAACUGAAACACGGUCCAAACUCCUACGGGAGGCUG
rnacentral:rRNA from 1 species